rnacentral:rRNA from 1 species
UCGACGAGUUUGAUCCUGGCUCAGAUUGAACGCUGGCGGCAUGCCUUACACAUGCAAGUCGAACGGCAGCGACGGGAGCAAUCCUGGUGGCGAGUGGACGAACGGGUGAGUAAUAUAUCGGAACGUGCCCAGUAGGUGGGGACUAACCGGCGAAAGUCGGACUAAUACCGCAUACGACCUACGGGUGAAAGCGGGGGAUCGCAAGACCUCGCGCUAUCGGAGCGGCCGAUAUCAGAUUAGCUUGUUGGUGGGGUAAAAGCCUACCAAGGCGACGAUCUGUAGCUGGUCUGAGAGGACGACCAGCCACACUGGGACUGAGACACGGCCCAGACUCCUACGGGAGGCAGCAGUGGGGAAUUUUGGACAAUGGGCGCAAGCCUGAUCCAGCCAUGCCGCGUGCGGGAAGAAGGCCUUCGGGUUGUAAACCGCUUUUGUCAGGGAAGAAACGGUUUGAGCUAAUACCUCGAACUAAUGACGGUACCUGAAGAAUAAGCACCGGCUAACUACGUG